UGAGUAAUGAUGACACUAGCAGUCCAGCCUGCAUGGAUGCUGACAUGGAUGCUGUCUCCCAUUCUUACCACUGGAUGGGAAGAAAUGCUAGAUGCAAUCCAGCCAGUCUGUACUCGACUGUCAGUUCCAUCUUCUCAACUCACAGUGUCUUCCAAAGUCCGUGCCACACCACAGCCUGGAACAUCUCCCAAGGUUUCAAAUAAUUCAUCAGUGAAUUCUUCUCAACCUGGUCAAUCAUGUGAACUUAGAAGAUGAUUCCUCCCCAGCUGAUCCUCAGGUGAGACAUCAGCCUUGGCCAUCAUCUACAUCUGGAUUCCUGACCCAGAGAAACUGGAACACUAAGACCCAUUCUUCUUCUCAAGUAUCCAAAAAUAAAGUUGAUCCAAGUAAGAAGUGGACAGCAUAAAAGAUUGUAUGGAAGCUAUAAUGCAUCUACAUCUGCAGUAACUAAUCAUAAAAUGAUUUGUAUGAUCAUUCUUCACAUGAUUAGAAUUACUAUGGGAAAGAAGAAAAAGAAAUGCCUCUCUGGAUGGUGACUAUAACCUAUAGCCUUGCCCAAUAUGACUCAGGAUUUGGUACUGGCUGUGCCUUUCAUGGGAUGCUUACUUAUCCUGGUCGAUGGCCUAAAGCCCAACCGUCCAGCUUAUAUCCAGGGAUAAACUCAGCCUGCGGGGCCUCAGGAAGAAGGUCGUAGCCAUUUCAUUGAGUCCAGGGCAGAAAAGUGGAAGAAAAAUGUGAAUGUGUUAAUUUGAGGACUUUAGCUCUGAGAGGUUUCAGGAUUCAGUCCAAAAUGCAGAAAACAAUAAAAAGCUCAAAAACAAUGGACAAGACUAGAAUCUAACAACAGGGUCUCAAGCCACCCAGGCUGGAGUGCAGUGGCACAAUUAUGGCUCACUGUAGCCUCACCUUCCUGGGAUCAAGCAAUCUUCUUUCUUCAGCCUCCAGAGGAGCUGGGACCACAGAUCCUUUGGCAUUUGAGAGUUGCUUUGUGUAUACGGUCCUUUAACGGAGCAAAUGGCCAGCCAGGAAACCAAAGUAUGGACAAGGGGAAAGAAGCGUCUGUGGAGGAAGUUUUACAAGCGCCCUCCUCAUCCAUUUGGGUGGUGUUGCCCAUAUGCUACAUGUCUGUGGACCACUAUGUGUGUUUAAAGCUUUUUAGUAAAACGUUACUAAAAA
rnacentral:lncRNA from 1 species